AAACUUUCAACAACGGAUCUCUUGGCUCUGGCAUCGAUGAAGAACGCAGCGAAAUGCGAUAAGUAAUGUGAAUUGCAGAAUCUAGUGAAUCAUCGAAUCUUUGAACGCACAUUGCGCCCCUUGGUAUUCCGAGAGGCAUGCCUGUUCGAGCGUC
rnacentral:rRNA from 1 species